ensembl:lncRNA
AUCAUCUGUAUGUGUAAUGACCUCUGACCCCUGACCCCUGUAGGAGAUGAUAGGUCUGAUAAAACAGUCCAGGAUCCCCAUCAUCUGUAUGUGUAAUGACCUCUGACCCCUGACCCCUGUAGGAGAUGAUAGGUCUGAUAAAACAGUCCAGGAUCCCCAUCAUCUGUAUGUGUAAUGACCUCUGACCCCUGUAGGAGAUGAUAGGUCUGAUAAAACAGUCCAGGAUCCCCAUCAUCUGUAUGUGUAAUGACCUCUGACCCCUGACCCCUGUAGGAGAUGAUAGGUCUGAUAAAACAGUCCAGGAUCCCCAUCAUCUGUAUGUGUA